rnacentral:misc_RNA from 1 species
UAAACGGCAGUAUACGUUCUCUGGUGGCUCCAAGAAAGGAACAUGCUAAGGCAAACUCAAGCCUCUACCGAAGUAGGUCCGGUAGUCGUGGCUUCAGAAAGCAGUAAAGUUCAGGUACUUUGCUGCUUUUGACGACGUGGCUUCACGCGAUUGUGGUAGUGGUACCUCUGGCGACAGGCAUCAUCACAGUACUUCUUGUCCUGACGCCCUUUCCUAUCGCCGAUCUCUGCCGGCAUAAGCGGAAUGACCUUGCCACAAUACCUACACGUGGUGACCCCUUCCCCUGCCGCCAUCAGCCGAUACAUCUGAAGGUACAUGGCCCCGAGCAGGUUACGUAUGCCCCAACCGCCAGCAACUUUCGCCGGUUGGCGAGGUU